CUUGUUGCAGCUUCAACAUAGCUUUAGCGUGCACCUUAAAUACCUUUUGUGUGUUUUUCUGGCCACUUGCAACUGCAGUGGCUCGCGAAGGGACCAACGAACGCUUCGAGGCAGAAUCCACUGAGAGGCGGUACAACCACAGGGCGUCUCAACUCGUGGCAUCUGAGGCGCGAGUCGCCACUAUUGGACAACGGCGCUUUUAAGCGCCACCCAAAGAGAAUCGUAUAAAAGCGUCGUCGAAGCCAGAC